UACGGGGGGGGGCAAGCGUUGUUCGGAAUUACUGGGCGUAAAGGGCUCGUAGGUGGCCAACUAAGUCAUACGUGAAAUCCCUCGGCUUAACCGGGGAACUGCGUCUGAUACUGGAUGGCUUGAGUUUGGGAGAGGGAUGCGGAAUUCCAGGUGUAGCGGUGAAAUGCGUAGAUAUCUGGAGGAACACCGGUGGCGAAGGCGGCAUCCUGGACCGGUAUUGACGCUGAGGCGCGAAAGCCAGGGGAGCGAACAGG
rnacentral:rRNA from 1 species